rnacentral:rRNA from 1 species
GAUGAACGCUGGCGGCGUGCUUAACACAUGCAAGUCGAACGAAGCACCUUAUUCUGACUUCUUCGGAAUGAAAAAUUUGGUGACUGAGUGGCGUACGGGUGAGUAACGCGUGGGUAACCUGCCUCAUACAGGGGGAUAACAGUUAGAAAUGACUGCUAAUACCGCAUAAGACCACAGCACCGCAUGGGUCAGGGAUAAAAACUCCGGUGGGAUGAGAUGGACCCGCGUCUGAUUAGGUAGUUGGUGGGGUAACGGCCUACCAAGCCGACGAUCAGUAGCCGACCUGAGAGGGUGACCGGCCACAUUGGGACUGAGACGCGGCCCAAACUCCUACGGGAGGCAGCAGUGGGGAAUAUUGCACAAUGGGGGAAACCCUGAUGCAGCGACGCCGCGUGAGCGAUGAAGUAUUUCGGUAUGUAAAGCUCUAUCAGCAGGGAAGAAAAUGACGGUACCUGACUAAGAAGCACCGGCUAAAUACGUGCCAGCCGCCGCAGUAA